UGGCUUUGACUCAUGAAGUUUUAAAGAAAGCUAGAGGGAAUCUGGAGGUGCUGCCGUCCGAGCAACUUCACUAACUGAAUUUAAGGUUCUAGGGAACAUUUUGUCUCCUCAUCCAGCAAAGCACCGUUUUACAACUCGUAAUCUCUUUAGCAUUUUAUUUUUUUAAUAUUUCUGGGGGGUUUUAACAAAUUGUAACAGUUUUUACAUUUUACAAAACCUAAAAUGCACAGUAACAUGUAAAUGUGCUGCGUUUUAACCAGAUGUCACAGUUUUUAGAUCACUUUUACUGUACAUUUCUAGUUUUAUCCCUGUUGUUUGUUCCCGUUACUAUAUAAUUUAAAAUAUUUCUAAAUGUUAAAUUUAGGUUUAUAUGUAAAGCUUUAAGACAGAUGUUCUGUGUUUGCUGAUUGAGACGGAUAAAAAUAUGCUAAAUGGGCUUAGAAAUACAAUUACAUGUGCUAAGCUAUGCAAAUUAAAACAGGCAUUUCAGAAACACAA